rnacentral:rRNA from 1 species
AACGAACGCUGGCGGCAGGCUUAACACAUGCAAGUCGAACGCAUCCUUCGGGGUGAGUGGCAGACGGGUGAGUAACGCGUGGGAACGUGCCCUUCAGUUCGGGAUAACCCAGGGAAACUUGGGCUAAUACCGGAUACGUGCGAGAGCAGAAAGAUUUAUCGCUGAAGGAUCGGCCCGCGUCUGAUUAGCUAGUUGGUGGGGUAAUGGCCCACCAAGGCGACGAUCAGUAGCUGGUCUGAGAGGAUGAUCAGCCACAUUGGGACUGAGACACGGCCCAAACUCCUACGGGAGGCAGCAGUGGGGAAUAUGUGACAAUGGGCGCAAGCCUGAUCCAGCCAUGCCGCGUGAGUGAUGAAGGCCUUAGGGUUGUAAAGCUCUUUCGUCCGGGACGAUAAUGACGGUACCGGAAGAAGAAGCCCCGGCUAACUUCGUGCCAGCAGCCGCAGUAA